rnacentral:rRNA from 1 species
UACCAGACUCCUACGGGAGGCAGCAGUGGGGAAUAUUGCACAAUGGGGGGAACCCUGAUGCAGCGACGCCGCGUGGGUGAAGGAGUAUUUCGGUAUGUAAAGCCCUAUCAGCAGGGAAGAACAAUGACGGUACCUGACUAAGAAGCACCGGCUAAAUACGUGCCAGCAGCCGCGGUAAUACGUAUGGUGCAAGCGUUAUCCGGAUUUACUGGGUGUAAAGGGAGCGCAGACGGCAGUGCAAGUCUGGAGUGAAAGCCCGUGGCUUAACCACGGGACUGCUCUGGAAACUGUGCAGCUAGAGUGCAGGAGAGGCAGGCGGAAUUCCUAGUGUAGCGGUGAAAUGCGUAGAUAUUAGGAGGAACACCGGUGGCGAAGGCGGCCUGCUGGACUGUAACUGACGUUGAGGCUCGAAAGCGUGGGGAGCAAACAGGAUUAGAUACCCUGGUAG